GUCCCCCUCUAAAACCUAGGUGCAUCUUAUAGGGCGAAAAAUACGGUACUUGCUUGCUCUUCGCGAUCCCCCCGCCCUUUGCGUACACCGUGCGCCGUGACAUCACAAGGAGGCACUGCAACGAUAGGGUGAGCCCCAGUGUCCGUCCAGUGCCCACUUUCAUCCCUGAGCCCAGCUGCCCAGAGCACUGAUCCUGAGCCUGCUGGAGUCUUCAGAACUUCUUACAGGCUAUCUUUCUAAAGAUGAGACACAGAUGGAAAUAAUUAUUGAUGAGGAUGAUGAGGAGGAGAUUCAUGACUGGAUUCCACCUACUGACAAACUAGCUUAUGAAAAUCUUUCUAUCACCUAUGAGUACCUGUUGACCCUUUCUUUUACACAAGUGUCAUGUGAGAGACUGCGAGCCACAAUGGGACAAGAACAGCUUGAUGCUCUAAUGAUCAUGUCAGUGGAGUGAGAUCUUCUGGAACAGGUCCAGUUUUCAGAUAUAUUGGAAAUUAUUUGUCAAAGUUCUUCCUUGAUGAGGUGUUUGCUAACCGUUUGAUCAAAUAUUUAGUUUAAAAGUUUUAUACAGAUAUUUAUUUCUCUGGCUUCUGUAUUUUGUGUAUUGUGUCCAUACAAAGUUCAUUUGUUAAAAUUGUAGAUUUUAUUUUUGUUAAACAUCAU